rnacentral:rRNA from 1 species
GGUGAAUCACUGGGCGUAAAGGGCGCGUAGGCGGCUUUGUAAGUCGGGGGUGAAAGCCUGUGGCUCAACCACAGAAUUGCCUUCGAUACUGCAUGGCUUGAGACCGGAAGAGGUAAGUGGAACUGCGAGUGUAGAGGUGAAAUUCGUAGAUAUUCGCAAGAACACCAGUGGCGAAGGCGGCUUACUGGUCCGGUUCUGACGCUGAGGCGCGAAAGCGUGGGGAGCAAACAGG